GAUGAACGCUGGCGGCGUGCCUAAUACAUGCAAGUCGAGCGAACGGACGAGAAGCUUGCUUCUCUGAUGUUAGCGGCGGACGGGUGAGUAACACGUGGAUAACCUACCUAUAAGACUGGGAUAACUUCGGGACACCGGAGCUAAUACCGUAUAAUAUUUUGAUCCGCAUGGUUCAAAAGUGAAAGACGGUCUUGCUGUCACUUAUAGAUGGAUCCGCGCUGCUUUAGCUAGUUGGUAAGGUAACGGCUUACCAAGGCAACGAUGCAUAGCCGACCUGAGAGGGUGAUCGGCCACACUGGAACUGAGACACGGUCCAGACUCCUACGGGAGGCAGCAGUAGGGAAUCUUCCGCAAUGGGCGAAAGCCUGACGGAGCAACGCCGCGUGAGUGAUGAAGGUCUUCGGAUCGUAAAACUCUGUUAUUAGGGAAGAACAUAUGUGUAAGUAACUGUGCACAGCUUGACGGUACCUAAUCAGAAAGCCACGGCUAACUACGUG
rnacentral:rRNA from 1 species